AUACGAAGGGGGCUAGCGUUGUUCGGAAUCACCGGGCGUAAAGCGCGCGUAGGUGGACUAAUCAGUUGAGGGUGAAAUCCCGGGGCUCAACCUCGGAACUGCCUUCAAUACUGUUAGUCUUGAGACCGAGAGAGGUGAGUGGAAUUCCUAGUGUAGAGGUGAAAUUCGUGGAUAUUAGGAAGAACACCAGUGGCGAAGGCGGCUCACUGGCUCGGUACUGACGCUGAGGUGCGAAAGCGUGGGGAGCAAACAGGAUUAGAAACCCUAGUAGUCC
rnacentral:rRNA from 1 species